rnacentral:rRNA from 2 species
UGGUGGUCAUAGCGAGAGCAAAACACCCGGAUCCAUCCCGAACCCGGCCGUUAAGUGCCUUUGCGCCGAUGGUACUGCAUCUUAAGGUGUGGGAGAGUAGGUCACCGCC